CAUUUCCAAAGAUUGCUAUAAAAGAGUUAAUCUGCCUUCCAUCAUGUCAGCUGUCUAAGCCAUCCAAAGUGGCUGGCCUGCGUCAGAGGUACACAUUUGGUAAAAGAAGAGCGCACAGAUGCAGUAACUCUACACUAGAUGGCACUGGAGGCUCAACCUGGGUGGGCAUUGGCUUUAAUCCCAUCCCUAAACCCAGCACACAUGCCCUGUCCCGCAGCUUUCCCUUCAGAAAUAGAGGACGAUUAGAUGGAAAACUGCCGAGUCUGAGCACACCGCACCCAAAGCCCAAACACAGCAGCGGUAACAGCUCAACAUUAACCCUGAGUUUGGGCUCAGUAAAGUGUUGGAGAGGAAGCUGAGACUGACCUGCAGAUUACUUCAUUAGUAUGUUACAUAAUCAGUCUGUUGUGUGCAGUGAUUUAGAGCUCU